rnacentral:rRNA from 1 species
UUUGAAGCGUGGACGCCAGUCUGCGUGGAGCCGACCUUGAAAUACCACCCUUUAAUGUUUGAUGUUCUAACGUGGACCCGUAAUCCGGGUUGCGGACAGUGUCUGGUGGGUAGUUUGACUGGGGCGGUCUCCUCCUAAAGAGUAACGGAGGAGCACGAAGGUUGGCUAAUCCUGGUCGGACAUCAGGAGGUUAGUGCAAUGGCAUAAGCCAGCUUGACUGCGAGCGUGACGGCGCGAGCAGGUGCGAAAGCAGGUCAUAGUGAUCCGGUGGUUCUGAAUGGAAGGGCCAUCGCUCAACGGAUAAAAGGUACUCCGGGGAUAACAGGCUGAUACCGCCCAAGAGUUCAUAUCGACGGCGGUGUUUGGCACCUCGAUGUCGGCUCAUCACAUCCUGGGGCUGAAGUAGGUCCCAAGGGUAUGGCUGUUCGCCAUUUAAAGUGGUACGCGAGCUGGGUUUAGAACGUCGUGAGACAGUUCGGUCCCUAUCUGCCGUGGGCGCUGGAGAACUGAGGGGGGCUGCUCCUAGUACGAGAGGACCGGAGUGGACGCAUCACUGGUGUUCGGGUUGUCAUGCCAAUGGCACUGCCCGGUAGCUAAAUGCGGAAGAGAUAAGUGCUGAAAGCAUCUAAGCACGAAACUUGCCCCGAGAUGAGUUCUCCCUGAGACUUA